rnacentral:rRNA from 1 species
GAUGAACGCUGGCGGCGUGCCUAAUACAUGCAAGUCGAGCGAACGGACGAGAAGCUUGCUCCUCUGAUGUUAGCGGCGGACGGGUGAGUAACACGUGGAUAACCUACCUAUAAGACUGGGAUAACUUCGGGAAACCGUAGCUAAUACCGGAUAAUAUUUUGAACCGCAUGGUUCAAAAGUGAAAGACGGUUUUGCUGUCACUUAUAGAUGGAUCCGCGCUGCAUUAGCUAGUUGGUAAGGUAACGGCUUACCAAGGCAACGAUGCGUAGCCGACCUGAGAGGGUGAUCGGCCACACUGGAACUGAGACACGGUCCAGACUCCUACGGGAGGCAGCAGUAGGGAAUCUUCCGCAAUGGGCGAAAGCCUGACGGAGCAACGCCGCGUGAGUGAUGAAGGUCUUCGGAUCGUAAAACUCUGUUAUUAGGGAAGAACAUAUGUGUAAGUAACUGUGCACGUCUUGACGGUACCUAAUCAGAAAGCCACGGCUAACUACGUG